rnacentral:rRNA from 1 species
AGCAGCCGCGGUAAUUCCAGCUCCAAUAGCGUAUACUAAAGUUGUUGCAGUUAAAAAGCUCGUAGUUGAAUUUCGGGAUCAAUACGUCGGUCGUGCUUCGGUACGUACUGGCGUAAUUGAUUUUUCCCUUCUGACGAACCAUGAUGUCAUUAACUUGGUGUCAUGGGAAAUCAGGACUGUUACUUUGAAAAAAUUAGAGUGUUUAAAGCAGGCUCACGCUUGAAUACAUUAGCAUGGAAUAAUGAAAUAGGACGUUCGAUCCUAUUUUGUUGGUUUUUAGGAUCAACGUAAUGAUUAAUAGGGAUAGUUGGGGGCAUUAGUAUUCAAUUGUCAGAGGUGAAAUUCUUGGAUUUAUCGAAGACUAACUACUGCGAAAGCAUUUGCCAAGGAUGUUUUCAUUAAUCAAGAACGAAAGUUAGGGGAUCGAAGACGAUCAGAUACCGUCGUAGUCUUAACCAUAAACUAUGCCGACUAGGGAUCGGAUGAUGUUAAUUUUUAAUGACUCAUUCGGCGCCUUAAC